rnacentral:rRNA from 1 species
GACGAACGCUGGCGGCGUGCUUAACACAUGCAAGUCGAACGGAGUGGCGAACGGGUGAGUAACACGUGGGUGACCUGCCCUGCACUUCGGGAUAAGCCUGGGAAACUGGGUCUAAUACCGGAGAGUGUGGGAUGGGCGCGCGGCUUAUCAGCUUGUUGGUGGGGUAAUGGCCUACCAUGCGGGCGACGGGUAGCCGGCCUGGGAGGGUGGACGGCCACAUUGGUCCUGCGACAGGGACCAGAGUCGGACUGGAGGCAGCAGGGGGGAUGAUGACUCAACGGGCGGAAGCCUGAUGAGGCGACGCCGGGUGGGUGAGGACGGCCUUCGGGUUGUAAACUCCUUUCACCAGCGACGCGGUAGAUGGAGAAGAAGCACCGGCUAACUACGUGCCAGCAGCCGCGGUAAUUC